AUUGAACGCUGGCGGCAGGCCUAACACAUGCAAGUCGAGCGAGUGGCGGACGUGUUAGUAAUGUCUGUGAAACUGCCUGAUGGAGGGGGAUCACUACUGGAAACGGUUGCUACUACCGCAUACCAUCAGAUGUGCCCAUAUGGGAUUAGCUAGUAGGUGGGGUAAAGGCUCACCUAGGCGACGAUCCCUAGCUGGUCUGAGAGGAUGACCAGCCACACUGGAACUGAGACACGGUCCAGACUCCUACGGGAGGCAGCAGUGGGGAAUAUUGGACAAUGGGCGAAAGCCUGAUGCAGCCAUGCCGCGUGUAUGAAGAAGGCCUUCGGGUUGUAAAGUACUUUCAGCGGGGAGGCGGUACCAGCAGAAGAAGCACCGGCUAACUCCGUGCCAGCAGCCGCGGUAAUAC
rnacentral:rRNA from 1 species